GUCUACAGCCAUGCCAUCCUGAAUGUGCCUGAUCUCGUCUGAUCUCGGAAGCCAAGCAAGGUCAGGCCUGAUUAGUACUUGGAUGGGAGACCACCUAGGAAUACCAGGUGCUGUAGGUG
rnacentral:rRNA from 1 species